UACGGAGGGUGCAAGCAUUAAUCGGAAUUAUUGGGCGUAAAGGGCGCGUAGGCGGUUUAUCAAGUCAGAUGUGAAAUUCCGGAGCUCAACUUCGGAGCUGCAUUUGAGACUAAUGGACUAGAGGAUGGGCGGAGAAAACGGAAUUCCACGUGUAGCGGUGAAAUGCGUAGAUAUGUGGAAGAACACCGGUGGCGAAAGCGGUUUUCUAGCUUUUUCCUGACGCUGAGGCGCGAGAGCAAGGGGAGCAAACAGG
rnacentral:rRNA from 1 species